rnacentral:rRNA from 1 species
GACGAACGCUGGCGGCGUGCUUAACACAUGCAAGUCGAGCGGAAAGGCCCUGCUUGCAGGGUACUCGAGUGGCGAACGGGUGAGUAACACGUGGGUGAUCUGCCCUGCACUUCGGGAUAAGCUUGGGAAACUGGGUCUAAUACCGGAUAGGAGCCAUCUUUAGUGUGGUGGUUGGAAAGUUUUUUCGGUGUAGGAUGAGCUCGCGGCCUAUCAGCUUGUUGGUGGGGUAAUGGCCUACCAAGGCGGCGACGGGUAGCCGGCCUGAGAGGGUGUACGGCCACAUUGGGACUGAGAUACGGCCCAGACUCCUACGGGAGGCAGCAGUGGGGAAUAUUGCACAAUGGGCGCAAGCCUGAUGCAGCGACGCCGCGUGGGGGAUGAAGGCCUUCGGGUUGUAAACUCCUUUCGCUAGGGACGAAGCUUUUUUGUGACGGUACCUAGAUAAGAAGCACCGGCUAACUACGUG